AGAUUGAACGCUGGCGGCAGGCCUAACACAUGCAAGUCGAGCGGAAACAGAGAGUAACUUGUUACUUUGCUGUCGAGCGGCGGACGGGUGAGUAAUGCUUGGGAAACUGCCCAGUCGAGGGGGACAACCAUUGGAAACGAUGGCUAAUACCGCAUACGCCCUACGGGGGAAAGAAGGGGACUCUUCGGAGCCUUUCGCGAUUGGAUGUGCCCAAGUGGGAUUAGCUAGUUGGUGAGGUAAAGGCUCACCAAGGCAACGAUCCCUAGCUGGUUUGAGAGGAUGAUCAGCCACACUGGAACUGAGACACGGUCCAGACUCCUACGGGAGGCAGCAGUGGGGAAUAUUGCACAAUGGGCGCAAGCCUGAUGCAGCCAUGCCGCGUGUAUGAAGAAGGCCUUCGGGUUGUAAAGUACUUUCAGCGAGGAGGAAAGGUUAGGUGUUAAUAGCACGUAGCUGUGACGUUACUCGCAGAAGAAGGACCGGCUAACUCCGUGCCAGCAGCCGCGGUAAUACGGAGGGUCCGAGCGUUAAUCGGAAUUACUGGGCGUAAAGCGUACGCAGGCGGUUUGUUAAGCGAGAUGUGAAAGCCCCGGGCUCAACCUGGGAACUGCAUUUCGAACUGACAAACUAGAGUUUUGUAGAGGGUGGUAGAAUUUCAGGUGUAGCGGUGAAAUGCGUAGAGAUCUGAAGGAAUACCAGUGGCGAAGGCGGCCACCUGGACAAUAACUGACGCUCAUGUACGAAAGCGUGGGGAGCAAACGGGAUUAGAUACCCCGGUAGUCCACGCCGUAAACGAUGUCAACUAGCCGACUGGCGCCUUGAGCGCUGGGUGGCGCAGCUAACGCAUUAAGUUGACCGCCUGGGGAGUACGGCCGCAAGGUUA
rnacentral:rRNA from 1 species